UACGGUAGGGGGCAAGCGUUGUCCGGAAUCAUUGGGCGUAAAGAGCUCGUAGGCGGCUCGGUAAGUCAGGUGUCAAAUCCUCAGGCUCAACCUGGGGCUCCACCUGAUACUGCUGUGGCUAGAGUCCGGUAGGGGAGCGUGGAAUUCCUGGUGUAGCGGUGAAAUGCGCAGAUAUCAGGAGGAACACCAGCGGCGAAGGCGGCGCUCUGGGCCGGAACUGACGCUGAGGAGCGAAAGCGUGGGUAGCAAACAGG
rnacentral:rRNA from 1 species